GACACUGGUGAUUCCAUAUUCAUAGAGCAUAUUCAGGAUCUGUCAUACAGAAAACUACCAUACACACAUUUUCUUUUGGUCCCUUUGUCAUUUAACUUUUGGCUCUGUUGCCUGUUUAACAGUCACUCUCACCUCUAUUCCUUUCCAUUUUAGGUGAAAGAAAUCUUUUUACCAGAUACUGAUGAGUGGCUGCCGUAAUUAAUAAGUGACUAUACCUCAUGAUCCUCCUCCUACUACAAGGGCAGAGACAUUCAUAGAGGACUCCAUCCCUGAAAAAGGCUCUAUUCCUUUGUCCCUUGGAACCUUGGAGUUCAUUCCCAGUCUAGGUAAUGAGAACAGUCAAGUCUUUAUUUGGACAAGGCC
rnacentral:lncRNA from 1 species